rnacentral:rRNA from 1 species
UGGGGAAUAUUGGACAAUGGGCGGAAGCCUGAUCCAGCAAUACCGCGUGUGUGAAGAAGGCCUGAGGGUUGUAAAGCACUUUCAAUAGGAAGGAACACCUACCGGUUAAUACCCGGUAGACUGACAUUACCUAUACAAGAAGCACCGGCUAACUCCGUGCCAGCAGCCGCGGUAAUACGGAGGGUGCAAGCGUUAAUCGGAAUUACUGGGCGUAAAGCGUGCGUAGGCGGCUCGUUAAGUCAGAUGUGAAAGCCCCGGGCUUAACCUGGGAAUGGCAUUUGAUACUGGCGGGCUAGAGUUGAGUAGAGGGGAGUGGAAUUUCAGGUGUAGCGGUGAAAUGCGUAGAGAUCUGAAGGAACACCAGUGGCGAAGGCGACUCCCUGGACUCAAACUGACGCUGAGGUACGAAAGCGUGGGUAGCAAACAGG